UUAAAAGAAUAAUAAGUCACAAGAUUGUAAAAACGCCAAAAUGUAAGUUUUUCAAAAGUUUUAAAGUAUUAUAGCAAAUUUGUGCCCAAAUGAUUUAAAGAUUGUUUAACUAAAGGUUCAAAUUUUAUUUGCAAUUUCUCCCAAGGAAGGAGAGAAGCGCCUCGUACAGCUUCAGUGAAGAGCUCCGCAGCUGGGUCUCCAGAAGGCGUGAGCGUGGCCUCAGGUGGCCUCGUCUCAUAACUUCCUGGAUAAAGUGUUCUACGUGAGGCCAAAACACAGAAUUUAAACACUCGGCUACAGCGCUGCACUCCACUGAUUCUAAGGCACCAAAGACGCCACAACGCCUCAGGGAUUUAAAACAACAGUCCAGGAGAAGGACAGGAGAGAAAAGAGGAAGGGACAAACAGAUACAUUAAAGCCUCGAUCCUGAUGCAAGUCCACAGCUCCCCAUCCUACACCCUGCAGCCAAACGUGCUUCAGGACUCAGAGCUUCCCAGACUUCAGAAAGGUAAUGCAGAACGUGCAACACACAUUGAAUAUUACUCUAACAGGGACUGGGGCAGCAACUUUAAUCAAACAGGUAAAUAUUUCUGCAGUGAAAUACAUGAAUAUUCACACUGAAUGAAUCUAUGCUAAACUCAGGGGGGGAAAUGUGCAUUUUUCAGAGUUUUCAGAUUUUAGAAUUAGGAAUAAAAAAUUAUAGAUACGUAUUUGCCAAAAGACAGUCAUGUUUUAUAUUAAGGAAAGUAUAUAUUUUUUUUCCCAAAAAGAAGCCACAAAAUUAAAAAUAAGUACUUUCUCUUUUUCCUCCUCUGUUUUUGGGAGUGAUUGCAGGCUUCAUCUUUUGCUUGUAAUUAUAAUGAUCUGCAUCAUCCUUUUCACUAAUUUUUUUAAAAGAUCAUCAAUCUGCUCCAAAAGAGCCACAGAAGGAUACUAAAACUCAGUUUGAUUUGAUUUUGUUUAGCCAAGUAAAGGCUAACGCAAUUCAGUUUCGAAAAAACACAGACACGAGAGAAAAGGGCAAACAGGAGGAUCCAUACACUUUGGCCAGAGUUCUAAUGGGCUCUGGGCUCCCGGAUGCUCAGGGCACCAGCUCUGCCUCAGCUUCAGAAGAAGCUGAUACAACUGGUGGUUCAUCAUUGUCCUUCCCAAAGUAAUGAGAAUCAUCACAAAGGAAAACAUUUAACAAUUCAAUAAAACAGAAGCAGGUUUUUGCAAUCUCUGCAUUUUAGCUAUUUAUGCAAAAUGCCUAUAUAUAUCACAAAAAUUAUAUGUAUCACUAGAUACAUAGUUUACCUUGAGAUGAACUCAAGAGGUGAAUUUUUUCCAGAAACUGACUUUUCUUUUUAAAUUUUUUAUUGUGGUAAAAUAUAUAUAACAUAAAAUUUACCAUUUUAA